rnacentral:rRNA from 1 species
UACGUAGGGGGCAAGCGUUGUCCGGAAUCACUGGGCGUAAAGCGCGCGCAGGCGGUCAUCUACGUCUGGAGUGAAAGCCCGGAGCUCAACUCCGGGAUUGCCUUGGAUACGGGAUGACUUGAGGAUCGGAGAGGCAAGGGGAAUUCCACGUGUAGCGGUGAAAUGCGUAGAGAUGUGGAGGAACACCUGUGGCGAAGGCGCCUUGCUGGCCGAUUUCUGACGCUGAGGCGCGAAAGCGUGGGGAGCAAACAGG